CAAUUUCACUUUUUCUUGUUUAAUAUAAACAUCAUUAUGAUUAUUUUAGCCAUUGAAAAUAGUAUUAUAUAUUAUUAGAUCGCAAAAUUAGAAACAAUAUUUUCCGGGUAUCAAAACCUCGUGCGAGAAAGAACUUUAUCCCAUUUGUGGAUCUUGAAUAGCGUUCAGACAGUUACAAAACACCUAUUUACUUCCAUUUUAGCGCUUCAAAAUAUAAUUAACGCCUUUGUAUCUCUACUGUACCGCUUAAGGAGUCAGUUGACGCCUACCUGUUGCCCGCUUAGCACCCAUAGAGGUAAUAUAAAACCAUUUUACCGCUAACAGAGUUAAUUUUCGCUUAUUUACCACUCUUGUAUCGCUAAGAGAUCCUGUUACCGCUAUUUUAACUUUCUUAUAGCAUUGAUUGUACCUCUUAGCCAAUUACCAUAACUCUUGUAUACCGUCAUUAUCCAACCUUAAGUAAUAUAAAAAUUGUGCCUAAUUCGGGGGUAAAGUAAGGUUAGAGCGCGCUCUAACACUAAUUUGAAACACCCAUAAACCACUUUAGAAUCUAGUUAGCGCUUUUAUAGACUUAUUAUAAAUCUUAUUUUAGCGCCUAAUUGUUACUUGGGAUCGUUACAGAUAUAGUGCCCCUUGGAAAGCUUUUUGCAGAAUUCCAGAUGAUUAAAUUGGAUAUAGGAAUUUCUAUUAGUAGUCAUUUCAAAGUAUCGUUUCGUAGGUUGGAUAAGAGCGAAAGUGGAGUCUUGAUGACUAUAUGGAAUUGGUAGAGGAAAUAUAUGAUAAAUUUCAUAUUCCUGGGGUUUGACCAGAGGUAGAUUUAGUAUAAAAAUUAAUUUAAAAUUGAUGUAAAAUACUUCUAGCGUAGAAAUAUCUAUAAGCAUAUGAAUGUUUUCUAAUGUUAGGGGGGUAGGAAACUCUUUAGGCGACUCAUACUUUGGGAUACACUAGAGUAUCAUCUGAUAAUUGUUGUGGAAGGAUACUCAUAGAUUGUUGCGAAUGUCCUUGUGUUGAAUUAUUUUGUGGCACUCCGUAAUUAACACUACAUCGACUGGAAUCACUAUUAUCAAACAGUACUGGGGAUAAUAUGGUAUUUUGUUCACCUAUUAGAACUUGCUGCAAUUUUGACCGUACCAGCAAUUUACGAUGUUAAGGAACAUCUUUUAAAAAUAGCAACAGGCUCAUUAAAAACUGAGCAUCAGGAUCGUUAGCACUUUCAUGCAAGCAUUUUAACUUCUGCACUUCAAUCUGCAACAAUUUAUUAUCAAAUUUAUUGGUCUUAAGUCUUAUUACUUUUUAGGGGGAUUUGAACAUUAUUUUUAGGGUUUGCUCCUGUUCCUCAUUUAUUUUCGGCGAAGCGGGAACAUAGUCAGAAAAUGUCAUUUAGAGGUACACAAGUUUUUGUACAAUGUCAAAAAAAUAAAAUAUCAUUGCUACAUUUAAGACAUUAUUUUAUCAUUUAAAAAUUCUUCUAAUGAAUAAUAACAUUUUUCAAUUAAAAUUAUUUGUAAUGUAGCCUUGAAUUGUUUUAUAUUUUGUUCUUUAAUACUGUCGGGUAGAUUAUUAUAUAGUUUUGGCCCCAACACAUAUAUCGUUCGACUAUAUGACACAAGGUUUGAAUCACUCUGUGGAAGUAUUUUUACUUAUGUUGUCUGGGCAUCCCUCUUCCGCCAAUCUGAGCCUUAUGGCCGGCCACCAGGCAUUAUCGAAGGCCCCCUCUAUGUCCAAUGAAACCAACGUCACGAUCUUCUUUUGGUUUAGCUUCUUUUUGAUAUGUUGCAUAAGGGCAUAGAGGGAGUCCUCGGUACUCCGUUGGGGCAUAAAACCAUAUUGAUUUGGACUCAUUUUUGGCAGGAGACAGUGCUUCAUUCUUGCAACCAACAUUUUUUCAUAAAUCUUGCCUAGGAUGGGGAGAAGUCCUAUUGGCCUGUAGGAUUUUGGUAUUCUGUAAUUGUCCUUUCCUGGCUUCUUAAGGACGAUCACAGUGGCCUUCUUCCACUGUUUUCGGAAGCAUUGGAGAGCAAGACAUUUGUAUUUUCUACUACUGUUUCUAUUUCAUCUAUAUUUUUUGCCCUUGUUAUUUCCUCUAUUGUUACAUUGUUUUCUAGUUUUAAUAAUUUUAUCUUUUCAUUGAAUUUAUUCCAGUCGGCCUUUUUCGUAUUGUAUUUCCUGGUGGUAAGUUUUAUAACUAUACCUCUGGAUCUCUUAAGGUUACUUUCAAAAAUAAUACCGUUGUGGUCCGAGCUUAUAAGAUCUUCGGCCACCCACCAGUCUUUGGUCAGGCCUAGCACCCCCGUCGAGCAAGCCGUAAUGUCAACGAAGCUCCUGUAUCUUAUGCCCCCUCUGAUGGUAUCGAAGGUCGGAACAUCACCGUUGUUUAGUAUGUGAAGGCCCAUCUGGUGGAUCGCACUGGCCGCUUCCUCUCCUCUAUAGUCCACUUCGUGGCUACCCCACCACGUGCUCUUUGCGUUAAAAUCCCCCCCCCCCCCCACUAUUACGAGCUUCGGCUUUAGCUCCGCCAUUACUCUUUUUAGGUGCUCCAGGUGUGGUUCAGUGGGCUUGUCCGGCUCGAUGUUUACAGAGACUAGUGCGAUCCUCCAGGCCUCGAUCAGUAUCUCCACCACAGCCACGUUACACGUGGUUAAGGAUGGGUGUUGGACUACGGUCAUAUUAGCGUCAAAUACCGCUAUCGCUGCCUUGACGGUUGUGUUAUCUUUAGCCUCCGCCUGGAAUACUCGCACCCCCUUGUAAGGGCGCUUUUAGUGUCACGCGGAUUUGCUCACGCACGCGGGAUUGGACCGCAUGCGUAAAAUUUCACGCUGCGGAUCAUACGCAGCAUGAGUUUCAGUUUUCUACGGGCUGCGUAACGGUAUAGACGUGUUCAAAAAUGAUCAAUGUCAGAAGAAUAUCUGUCGCUUACAUACUUUACAAACGACGAAACAAGAAGACAAGAGUACAUGUUGAUCCCUUUCUUGAAAAUAGGCUUCUUGCUGGGGCGUUUGUUACACACUUUGGAAAACUACAAAAUAAUGAACGUAAAUUUAAAAAUUACUUUCGAAUGUCCAUUCGUUCUUUUGAUGAACUGUUGUGUAAAAUUGAGAAUAAGCUACAAUAAAGCAGUUUACGAAGGAUUACAAUACAACCGAUUGAGAGGCUCGCUAUUACAUUAAGAUAUUUGGCAACUGGUAAUACAUUCACUGAUCUACACUAUUCCUAUAUGAUUGGAAUUGCAACAAUUAGCGAAAUAGUAAGACAAGUUUGUUACAUAAUAUGGAUUGAACUAAAGUCUGAAUGUAUUCCACAGCUUAAUGGGAUCAAAUGGAAAGAAAUCGCAGAGGGAUUUCUCACAUAUACAAAUUUUCCUAAUUGCUUGGGUGCUAUUGAUGGAAAACAUAUAAGAGUGAUUCGGCCGCCGCACAGUGGAUCACUAUAUUUUAAUUAUAAGAAAUAUUAUUCUGUAGUGCUCCUCGCAAUGUGUGAUGCUGAUUAUAAUUUUACAUAUAUUAAUGUCGGUACCAGUGGAAGCAACGCCGAUUCAACCAUCUUUAGAAGGAGUCAAUUGUAUACGAAACUGGAAAGUAACACGUUGGGUAUCCCUGACCCGCAAGAGUUGCCUAUUAUUUGCCCCGAAGUAGCUUAUCCAUCUAGUGUAAGAGCAAAGUUGCCGUUCGUGAUAGUGGGAGAUGAGGCAUUUGGUUUAUCAUCACAUGUGAUGCGGCCUUAUGCUCGUGAUAAUUUACCUUACAAAAAGAAAAUAUUUAAUUACCGUCUGUCCAGAGCUAGAAGGUACAUAGAAUGCACUUUUGGAAUUAUGUCAAAUAAAUUUAGAAUAUUUCACAGAUCCAUGACUGUCAAGUUAGAUCUAGCACAAUUAAUAGUCAAGACGGCAUGUGUACUUCACAAUUUCAUAAGGAAACGGGAUGGCUACAUGGUCAGCCAUACAUUUGUCACAAAUGGUUUUACGGGACCACUACCCAGGCAGCAGACUGAAAGUAGUAAUACGUCGGCAAGUAAUAUCAGAGAUAUAUUUGCAGAUUACUUUAUCAAUGAAGGAAAAGUCUCCUGGCAACACCGAUAUAUAAUUAAUUAACUAAACUCAAAAGGUUUUAGAAGGUUUUUGAUGUUAUUUGUGAAUUAAAUAAUUAUGCUUAUAUUAAUAAAGUAAUGAUGCUUGUAUAAAUAAAAUAAUGAACCAAA